rnacentral:hammerhead_ribozyme from 1 species
AUUCAGUUGAUGAGUCCCAAAUAGGACGAAACGCGCAUCCUGGAU